CGCGCGGAGGCCUGGGGCGCGCGGGCGCGGGGCGGCGGGCGCGCGCACCUCUCUCCGCCCCUACCUGGCCGUGACGCCGGCACAAUGGCGGCUCCCGUGCCCCCGCCGCGGCCUGUCACCCACCUGCUCUUUGACAUGGACGGCCUCCUUCUUGAUACCGAACGGCUGUAUUCGGUGGUGUUCCAAGAAAUAUGUGAUCGCUACGGAAAGAAAUACAGUUGGGACGUCAAGUCCCUUGUUAUGGGAAAGAAGGCAUCAGAGGCGGCACAGAUCAUAAUAGACGUCCUGCAGCUCCCGAUGACCAAAGAGGAGCUGCUGGAGGAAAGCCAGACGAAGUUGAAAGAGGUGUUCUCCACGGCCGCCCUGAUGCCAGGGGUGGAGAGACUGAUUCGCCAUCUGCGCCGGCACGGCGUGCCCCUGGCCGUGGCCACCAGCUCCAGCCGCGCAUCGUUUGACAUGAAGACCGGCAGACACCAGGCCUUCUUCGGCUUGUUUGACCACAUCGUGUUGGGGGAUGACCCCGAAGUGAGCAACGGGAAGCCACAUCCCGACAUAUUUCUAGUCUGUGCCAAGAGGUUUUCCCCUGCUCCGCCCACCCACCAGAAAGAACUUUGCAUGGUGUUGCCCCCUGAAGAUGGAAUUCAGCAUCAAAACCAGCUUGGUCUCCCUCAAAGAAACCGUUGACGUGCAAAAGACCUCUAGGAUGUAGCAUUUCAUCAUAUACUAGGGCUGCAGUGCACUCUGCAGAAUUGGACUUGAAAAAUGAAGAAGGUAGAUGGAGGUUAUAGUAAAUUUCUGUCACACUAAAAGUUUCCUGAUCCCACGGCCGUGGGGUUUGUUGGAAUGUUGCAUGUCCUUGAGGCACUGUUCACCAGGCUUGUGGGGCUGGAACACAUGGAGAACUCAUUUUGCUACGACAGGAGGUUGCCAGCCCUGGAACCCAAACAGGCGUCCAGAAGUACUUUGACAUCUUUCUCCCACAUCCAUGGUCACCAUAUUGCAAAAUGGUGGUCCCACAUUCAUAUUCUCAUCCUGGAUGCCAUGAUGUUUUCAUCAUGUUGACGUUCUUUGCCAUGCUGCAGGUUUUCAUGGCCUGGGACGAUGAGGGCCUCAGCAUUGUAGCAUCAGUUAGUAGAGACUCUUUCUCCCUGCCUUUGGUUUAUCAAAUGACUGACUCAGGAGCAGCGGCACACGGACCCCCAAGCAAAGGUCUCAGGUGGCAAUCCCUGGAAUGUUCUUGUUUCGAUGGUCCUGAGAGUUUGCAAUUAGGUUUAUAUACCUUGCCUUAAUGACUGAAGUGUCCAAAAUCAUAAAUUCAAACUGUAAUGGAAGAAAAUAAUAAUUUAUCUCAUGACUGCAGUAAACAUAGUCCAAUGUCUCAGAUUUAUCCCCCUGAUUAUUCUUUAAACCAGAAAAGAUAUGUAUCAACAUAGAAAUGGUCUUUUUUAUGGGGAGCCAAUUCCAUGACUGUAUGUACCAUUGAUUCUUGGUCACUGAUGCCACUUUCCUAUUCGUGGGACAAGGAUGUUUUCCACAAAGCUCUCCCCUAUAAGAUAAUGGCAGCUGAUGCCUGAGCAUCUGCAUCUGCAUCUUGAUAUGAAAGUUUCUACCCCUCUUAGAUGAGAGGUGGCCUGUGGUCCCCACAAUGGGAUCCAGUUCUUUCUGCCCAUUCAUGGAGUGACUUGGAGAACAGAAAGCUGGUUUGCUGGAGAACCACUCAGUAGAGAGCUGACUGUAACGCUGAUGCCCAGAGGAACCCUGCAAGAUGUGGGCUGAAGACAACAGAAGCAUGACAGCUUGGAUCCCCGAAUGACUGUGUGGACCAGAGACUUCCACUGCCCCAUGGCACAAGCCCUACACUGUGCAUGAGAGUGACCACGUCUGAGCCACCACGUUGGGUCCAUUUGUAGCUGCAGCUUACCUACUCUAAAGCACCACCUCUGGUAGCCAGGAUUCUGACUACGUGUUGGUUGAUGCUCGAACGGAUUUUUGAGCCACCAUCGAAUCAUUUCUGAGGUCCGUCUACCGAGAUCAAGUCCCAUAAAGCAGAUACUGUGCUGAUUGAAGCAUUCUGGAAACCGUGGGAUGGAAUGCAAACAGGACACAGUUGGACAAGAAAGGAUUCCAUAUACAGGAUAUACCGGUGGUACGCCUCAGAUUGGUAAGGGCAGUGGAGUUUUUACCUUUUCUCCUUUCAACGUUUUUAAAUGAGCCCGUGUUAUUAUUAUUAUUUUUUUUAAUCUUAAACAAGCUAGUUCCCCUCACUUUGUAAUGUCUGGGGUCACGGAUGACAGAAAUCGUCCGCACAGCAGACCAGCGUGGUUAGAACUCGUGUCCACGUAUGGAUGGUUCUCCGAGAAGGCUGCCUGAACCGUCAAGAUACUAUUUCUUAGCCGAUUGCAACUUGAAUUUAGUGGGAAAGAAGCCAGCCGGCUCUGAGUGUUGUUGGCACUCUGAGAAACCUCAGAUGCUGUGAAGAGGCAGGGGGAGUUCACAAAACGCAGGCCAUCCCUGGACAUCAGUGGCUCCCAGGGCCUAAGAGGAUCCUAAGUGAGAGCCUACAUCCACGUCUUGAUGUACAACAGGGGCCAUCCGUGGCCCUUGAACGUCACACAGCAAAUCUGGCCCCCCAGGUGUCCCGUGUUAAUAUGAUUAAUUCCUCUGGAAUGAACUUUGCGAUUGCACAUUUCAGCUCUGUAUUUACAAACCCCAAGCACAGAGUUUCCUAUUUCUGUUUCCUGUUCGUGCACCUGAGUGUCAUCGAUGCGGGUGAGCUCAGGGUAGCUCUGGAGUGGCCCCCAAGCACGUGGUGUUGGCGGGCACCUGGUUGCGGCGACAUCGCGGGCAACAUUCUUCAGGCGGUGUUUCUAAGCUCAGCUUUGCAAGGACGGAAGCCGAUCCAAUUUCAGUGACGGGAGCAACGGCCGGGGGGACAGGAGAACUCAUCUGCGCUCUGAAAGCCUGUUCCCAACACCGGGAACGUUUUCUCCGUGUCGACAAAUGGCCCCUGGGCUUCGCUGCAGGUCAGAUCCAAUUUUAAACUGUGGGUUCCCCACUUGCUACGUAUAUUUGGUGAGACAGA